rnacentral:lncRNA from 1 species
GCUUUCCCUGGGAAACUGAAGUGGAUCUCUUGAGUUCCUCAGUCUGGUUCUGUUAUAAGCACAAUGCGAUCACAACGACAGUCUCUUUCUAGAGCUGGUACCCAAACCUUGAUAAGAAGAAAUUAUUUUCUUGAAGAGUGAUGCAUCUGGACGCAGCCAGCACUGGCAGCCGGCAGUGGCAGGGUUUCGUGCUGGUGGUUACUGGGGAGUUUUUGCAGCUGGUUUUCUUCUUUUCACCCACACAGGAGAAGUUGCUGCACCAGGAUGGCCUGAAGCAGAUGGUGAUAAACAACCACAUUCUGCAAUGUGGAAUACUGAGGCAAAGGGAGAUUGUUACGCACCUGGAGGAGGAGAUUGAUGAGCUGAAGAGAAACAUCCAGACACUCCGCCAGAGUGCAAGAAACCCAAGAGAGCUGAUCUUUGCUGAUGUUCUUCUCCGCAGACCGAAGUGCACACCAGACACCGAGGUGGUCCUCAGCAUCCCCACCGAGGAGACGCCGCUCGUCUGAUGCUUGGCCAGGUUCCGGGGGAUCGCAGGGCGUGGAUGAGGUUCAGCUGCAAAACCCCUCCUUUCCCAUCCACGCUUCUCCAUCCCAGCCCCGCUCAGCCGCCCUGGGGACUCGCUGAUGUGGUUAUAGGCUGCAGUAAAGGUGUUACCAUCAUUCCUGGUCCGUGUGGG